GACGAACGCUGGCGGCGUGCCUAAUACAUGCAAGUUGAGCGCUGAAGGUUGGUACUUGUACCAAAUGGAUGAGCAGCGAACGGGGGAGUAACGCGUGGGGAAUCUGCCUUUGAGCGGGGGACAACAUUUGGAAACGAAUGCUAAUACCGCAUAAAAACUUUAAACACAAGGUUUAAGUUUGAAAGAUGCAAUUGCAUCACUCAAAGAUGAUCCCGCGUUGUAUUAGCUAGUUGGUGAGGUAAAGGCUCACCAAGGCGAUGAUACAUCGCCGACCUGAGAGGGGAAUCAGCCACAUUGGGACUGAGACACGGCCCAAACUCCUACGGGAGGCAGCAGUAGGGAAUCUUCGGGAAUGGAAGAAAGUCGGAACGAGCAACGCCGCGUGAGUGAAGAAGGUUGUCGGAUCGUAAAACUCUGUUGGUAGAGAAGAACGUUGGUGAGAGUGGAAAGCUCAUCAAGUGACGGUAACUACCCAGAAAGGGACGGCUAACUACGUG
rnacentral:rRNA from 1 species